AUGUUCAUUCACAUAUGUCUGGUUUACCCACACAAGGGCACAAUGAUGAAUUUUACGGAGGAUGCUCCUGUAAAGAAAGGCUUUGUUCUCUUAACAAGGAUGGAAAGUAUAACGGCAUACAAAAACCAACGUGGACAACCCAAAUCUGCAACUCCAGAACAAUCUGACAUUCCAGUGUCUGCUAAUGACUUGUGUUCCCUUGCUGAAUGGCCAUCCCAUGCUCGCCGCAACCGUGCGCGACUACAGGAUGAAGCUGGUGGACAGAAGAAGAAAGGGCGAGGUGUUCUAAAAGGUUUUAAAGCAUCUAAGAAGCGUUUUGCCAAUGGAUCUGCAAAGCUAAAUAUUACAUUCUCUGAAAAAUUGGGUGGUACAGUAGGAAUGAACUAUCGUUCGUUCAAGGAUGACGUGGUAGUCAUAAUGAAAAGAAAGUUACCACUCAUUGGAGUGAGGACGUGGUCGGACAUUCACCCUACCAUUCAUCGACUCAUUGUUGCAGAUAUAAUAGACAGAUGGGACCUGGAAGAUACACCAGAAACAGAAGAAAAAGUUCUCAAAAUUGCGAAAGAGAGAUAUAGAGGCUGGCGAUCAACUCUAAGCUCCACUUACAAGGCAUACAAAACAGAUGCAGCUAGAUUGGCUAAUCUGCCUGAAGAUUUACAACCAGAAGAGUGGGAAUGGAUGAUUGAGUACUUUGGCACUGAUUCAAAAUUUCAGGAACGCAGCCAAAAGAACGCUGAUAACCGUAAGAAACAGAAGACAAAACAUAUAAUCGGAUCAAAAUCUUACUCGGAAGUUAGUUUUGAGAAGAGAAACUUAGAAACUGGAGAAGAGCCAGAUUGUAUUGCUCUAUGGUAA
rnacentral:rRNA from 1 species